rnacentral:rRNA from 1 species
GACGGAGGGUGCUAGCGUUGUUCGGAAUUACUGGGCGUAAAGGGCGCGUAGGCGGCUACGGCAGUCGGGUGUGAAAGCCCGGGGCUCAACCCCGGAACGGCAUCCGAUACUCUGUGGCUAGAGACCGGAAGAGGUGGGUGGAAUACCCAGUGUAGAGGUGAAAUUCGUAGAUAUUGGGUGGAACACCGGUGGCGAAAAGCGGCUCACUGGUCCGGUUCUGACGCUGAGGCGCGAAAGCGUGGGGAGCAAACAGG